rnacentral:lncRNA from 1 species
UUUUUUUUUUUUUUGCUGAAUUUUUAAAAGGGAUAUUAGACUUUGUAAGGUAUACUAAAUAUCUUAGCAUUUAUUUCUAAAAAGUGAGGACAUUUUCUUAAGGACAAAAUUAUUUAUUAAAACAUACUAUAAUUUUAUCAAUGUCAUCUAACACCAUCCUAGUCUCAUUUACCUUUUCCUAGUUGUCUCAGGAUGCAUUUUAUGGUUGUUUUAGUCAAACGAUGAUCCAAUCAGUAUCCAUUCAUUACAUAUGAUUGUUCAGACUUUUAAGUCAUUUGUAAUUUAGACAAGUGCCCCAUUGCCCAACCUUCCCUUUUCAUCUCAUGAUGUUAAAUCUAGACGAUGGGCUUUAGAGAGUCUUUAUAAAUAUCUUUCUAUUCAUCUAUACAUGCAAAGUCCUGUUCACAGUAAAAAGUUUAAAAAAAUAAUCAAGGUAAAAUACUACAAAAGAUACUAAAAUUACAAGUGUAAAGCAAGGUAGCAUUGCUCAGUCCUUCCACAUUUCCUCUUCCUAUUUUUCUUGCUCACUCUUCCUUCCAUUUAUCUCAUAUCUUCACUCACAGAAUCCUAUUUUAUACACAGGACAUUGAUACAGGUUUUCUGGGUAUUAAAAGAACAAGGCAGUUCUCAUAUAUUCAACAAAUUUUUAAUUAGUACCCAACAUGUGGCUGGAAAAAUUCUUGGACCCAUGGAAGCCGUCUUAAAAUGAUAAUUUCCUAUUUUUCCCAGUCCAAACUCCUUCGUACCGUUGAUCCUUUAAUUUGUUACUGUUUUCUCCAUCUUCUUUGUGCAGCUACAAAGAAAUAUGGCUAUGUGGACAUGUACAACUGAAUCACUCUGCUGUACAGCAGAAAUUAUCACAACAUUAUAAAUCAACUAUAAUUCAAUAAAACUUAAAAAAAAAAAAGAAAUACGGCUAUAAGCAUAACAGUUUCCUGGCAUCUAAGAAGAGACCCCAACCCCAACACCAGAGAAACUUUUAGAACUCAUUGGAGUUCUCAAAGCCAGGUUAUAAUAAUUCUCUUAUUUGCUCCUUCUAAAAUCAAGCCUAUGAGCAAGCAGGCUAUCAAGAGUUUUAGCUCCAUUUUACAAUUAAGAAAACUGAAGCACAAAAAGAUUAGGUCUUAAUCGUCAGCCUCAGUGUUUUGUUUUGUUUUUUAAUCACUUCAUUUCUGUUGCAGAGAUUAACUAGCUAUUUUUUAAAUUUUAUUUUUAUUAAAGUAUGGUUGACUUUCCGAGUUGUGUCAAUUUCUGCGCUAGAGCUAUUAACUGAAAUACUUCUACACAAAUAGACAUUUCCCACCCUCCCUUGCUGUUACGUGUGAUCACAUAUCUGAGUUCUGCUCGAUGGAAUUCGAAGGGAAAUAUGUUAAACACCACUUAAUGUAUCUGGUUCUGAAGAGCUUCCAAUAAAAGCCUCCAUGCAUUAUCCAUUUGUUUGUUCCACCAGUUAACAUUACCCUAACUUACAAUCAUUUCCUAUCACUUCUGUGUCUCUGUUUCUCCUUUUCCCCAAACAUUCUACACUUUGCCUUCCUUCCUUCCUGGUGACAUUUUCUUUUUUGGAGAUGCACCAACCUUCACAACUCACAUAAAAUGAGCCCUAUGUAUUCCAUGAUCCCUUCCCCCACAAAUCCUUCAAGUGCUCCGUCUCUAAAUAUCCAUACCAUCAACAAUCAGUAUACAAUUCGCUACCUGAUGAAAGUGGAGAAUGUUGGUCAUAUAUAUUGGGUUUCACUCAAACCUUAUUGUCUUAUUUUACCACAUACCCCAUGAUACCCCAUGAAGUACGGAAUAUAAAGUAAGAACUUAAUACAUUGCUGCUAGUUAAUAGAGUCAUAUUGGUUUGAUAAGCAACAUUAAAAAUGUCUGACCAUUUCCUGCCUAAUUUAUAAAUUUCUAUUAUUUACUGAGGACAUAUGAUGAGUUUGGCAUCGCUUUAGAAACCAAGACCAAAGUAAGCACACCACCUCAUUAAUCUUUCCUUCAGAGUAAAUGUCCUUUCGCUUUUUUCACACCAGAGCUUUUCUCCUAGAUUUGGCUGCUUUCUAAGCAUUUGACUGGGAAUAGAAGUUUGUUGAAUAAACCAAGCCUUCCAUUCAGAUCAUUUGAUGUUCAAAUCCUGCCUCCUUCAUUUAUAUGCUUUGUAACUUAGGAUAAUAUCCUUAUUUUCCCAAUACCUCUAAUUGUGCCACCAUAAAACACAGAGAGAGUCCUGUAUAACUUACAAGGUUGCCAUGACAAUGUUAUAAAUAUCAUAUAUAAAAACAGUGCCUAACCCUAAAUAAAUCUAGCAGAGGCUCAGAAAAUGUUAGUUCCCCCUUAGUGUGGCUCAGUCAUUUUUGGAGAAGACGGUAUCUAAAAUUACAUUUGAGGGGGAGUAGGUGACCAUCCCAGAGAACCAGGGUACCACUCUGCCUUGUAUAUAUGAAUUCCCCCAAAGUCCCAUAGCUGGAAGAUUUGCAGAGAAAAGAUGGAUGCAGAGAAUUUAUAUAGACCUUUUAUUCAGGAGGAGGACAGAGGAAAACUGUUGUUCUAUUAGAUAGGAGAAGCGGUAGGAAACUGACAUUAUUCUUAAAUCUUUGCAUCUCUUUUUCAUUUACUUAGUCCUUUUGCCUUAAAAAGCAAAUUAAUAACAGUUUCAGCUUGUUUCAUCCCUAUGUCUUGAUGAUUAUGCAGUGUGUGAAAUUUCCAUACUUCUAAAUGAGACGAUUUUAGACGAAUAUGAAAACACAGCAUUCAGGCUCUGAGCAGCACUGCACCAAGCCAGAAUGGGGGAGAAGUAACUAAACAGCUGCACGUGUGAGAGGGAUUAGCGAUUUUAGUUGACUGCCAGCCCAAUAUGAGUCACCAGUGUGUUGAUGCUGCCAAGAGGAUAAUUUGAUCUGGAGCUGAAUUAACAGGACUGCAGUGUCCAGACCAAAGGGAGUGAUACUCCUGCUGUCUGGGCAAGAGUCAGACCACACCUAAUGUGCUGCAGCUCUUGUUUAUCCCAAAUACCCAUUCCUUUACAGUGUACUGUACAAAGAGGAGUUUACUGUAUUAUGGGAAUGAGUCGUCUGAUACCUAUAUUCAAAAAUGCAAUCCUUUACCUUAUCUCUGAAUUCACCACACAAGCUGUGUUGUCAUUUUGUAUGUGGAUGUUUGUAUCUUUGAGGCUAGGAAAGUGUCCUUCCCUUUUAUGUAUCUUAUAGUAUAAAUGGGGCAGAAACUUUCUAUUUCUUCCUUUUGAAGAAAAUGGAUUAGUUUCUAGAAGGAGUGUCUACUGUACUGACUUGAACAAAGUAGUCAAAGAGAACUAGCUUCAAAUUCUGUUUAAACUAUCAUGAACAAGAAAAAAAAAUUGUUCCUCUAGUGUUCAGUUCUACAUCUGGGGGUUAAAGUGUUUUUCUCUAUGCUCCUCUGUACCUCCAACCUAUCAGACACCAACCAUCCUUAUGUUCCUUUUAUACAAGACUGUGAGCACCGAGUGUUGGGAGUUACGUCUUCAUAAUAAAGCAAUUUUGAAAGUUAGCGAAUAGGGAAUAGGGCAAUGCAGGGGUGGGAAGAGCCCUACCUUGGUAGGAUAACAUACCAAGGUAGGAGGAUUUAGGGAAUGUGAUAAAGAAUCAGGCUCUGGGGAUUAGAGAGAAAUCUCACUUCAAGUCAGCAGAGUUAAAGCAGAGGAAUUCAUGCCUGGAAAUGAGGUCGAAUAUAAAACCCAUCAAAAUAGCCUCCUUAUCCUCCACUUCACUCCAGCUAUUAAUCUGAACAUGGAGUGGUACUAACAGCCAAAUGAGCAGUGAGAGAAGCCAACAGCAAUUUACACAGAGAUUUACUGACAAAUAUCAUGUCUGCAUAGAUCUUUCUUUCUUUCAAAAUUAAUAACAAACAAACAAAAAGACAAAAACUGAUCCCAACAUUAGAAACCAUGGGGCCAAUAAAUAUAUGGAAAGGGAAGAAGUAUUAUUAUUCUGAAGACUCAGAAGAAAGUCCUUCUUCUAAAAUACAUUUUAUUUGGAAAGCAAAAGGAAAUCUUAAAAUCUUACAAGACGUGAGAGAUUCUUUGUGAAAUAGGAGCAAAAAUUCUAAGGGGAUAAUAUUUAAGGAAAAGAAAUAAAAGAAUGAGAAAAAAAGACACCACACUUAGAUAAUAAAGGAACAAGGUGAAAUGCAAAUAAAAUCAAGAUAGUUACAUUAAUACACACAAUAGAAACAGCAAAGAGUACAACAAACAUUUGGGGGGGGGGGGGUUGGUCAGAGAGGUUCUGACCAAGAUAAAUCAGGGAUGAGAAAGACAAAUGUGAGAAUUUUCAGGAAUGAAAGAAAAAAAGACAAAAGAUGAAAAUGAUAUAAGAGUGAAGGUGAUGGUCCUAAAAGACAAAGAACACAGACUUAGGCUAAGAAUACAGUUAUUGGGAGUUCCCAUCAUGGCUCAGUGGUUAAUGAAUCCGACUAGGAACCAUGAGGUUGCGGGUUCAAUCCCUGGCCUUGCUCAGUGGGUUAAGGAUCAGGUGUUGCUGUGAGCUGUGGUGUAGGCUGCAGACAAGGCUCGGAUCCCGAGUUGCUGUGGCUCUGGCGUAGGCCGGUGGCUAAAGCUCCAAUUAGACCCCUAGCCCGGGAACCUCCAUAUGCCUCAGGAUCGGCCCUAGAAAAGGCAAAAAGACAAUAAAUAAAUAAAUUUAAAAAAAGAAUAGAGUUAUUAACACUGUGGUAAUAGAAUGAUCUUAGAAGAGUUGAGAUAAUCAAUGAUACAAUUGAAGAAAAAUUUCCUUCAAUGAUUAAGACCUGAAUAAGCAGUUUGAAAAAGAUCAUCACAUUCCAAGAGAAAGUAAUUUUAAAAAUUUCUAAACUAGUGUGUGUGUGUGUGUGUGUGUGUGUGUGUGUGUAGUUUUUUUUAGGGCCAUACCCAUGGCAUAUAGAGGCUCCCAGGCUAGGGGUGGAAUCAGAGCUGCAACCUCCAGCCUACGCCACAGCCACAGCAAUGCUGAGUGCAACCUACACCACAGCUCAUGGCAAUGCUGAGUCUUUAACCUAAUGAAUGAGGCCAGGGAUUGAACCUUUGUCUUUCCACUAAGCCAUGAUGGGAACUCCUAGUUUUUGUACUUUAAGAAUAAAAAAUAGGAGAUUUCUGGUGGCUCAGCAGAUUAAGGAUCCAAUGUCGUCACUGCUGUGUGGCAGGUUCUAGUCCUGGCCCUGGAAUUUCUGCAUGCUGCUGAUAUGGCCUCAUAAUAAUAAUAAUAAUAAUAAUAAUAGAAAAAUAGUAUCAAUCUAUAAAACCUGAGCUGAGGGAAGAUGUCUCAGGAAAAACAAACUGCAAACUGUUAGACAUCUGCGGAGGAACUCUACUGAAAAUGAGGUUGGCAAGGUCUAUAAUUGAAGAAAGUCAAGGAAAUUUAAAAGCCCUACUAUGAGGAAUAAAAGAAAAGCCUGACUAGAAGCGUAUGAAAAGCCCACCUGAAACUUCUGAUCAUCUUGACUGGGUCAAUUAUACUUAUAAAGGUUAUCACAGGUUCCAUAGUACCAUACCUUAUCAAAAAUGUUUACAUACAUAUUUACACACACACACACACAUAUGUGAAAAUAUAUAUUUAAUAUUUAUUUUCCCUCCCCCAAUAGCCUAUGUGUUUGUGUAUAUUGUGUGCCUGGCAUAUAGAAUAUUAUAGAAGGCAUGAAUAUUAAACAAACAACUGAAUGACUGAAUGCAUAGAGUUGCCAAGAAGUGUGGAAUUCAUGAACAGAGCUCACAAUAUGAAAAAUUAAAACUUUUGAAUUCAUCUGCUGGUUAUGGUGGAGUGACUGGUACUAGACUUGUUUUCCUUCUGUAAACAAAUAGAAAGAUGGAAAAAAAUACCUAGGACAAAUAUUUUCAGACACUAGGCAACAGGUGGUGCAGGACUGUGAUCUAUGGGAGAUGGAAAACAAGACAGGUAACCGUUCUGAUUACUGUGACAUUCUGCCUGAAGGCCUUUUCAGACCACCAUUACAUUGAAUGGUGAAAUUACAUUCAUUUGCAUAAAUUUACAUAAAUCACAUUGAAAUUACAUACAUUUAAUACCAUAAAAAGCCUACCCAUGAAAAAAUGCACUCUGAUAACUUCAUUGAUGAAUUCCAUCAAUGUUUUAAAGAAGAAAUAAUAUCAAUCCUUAUACGUUCUUUUGUAAAAUAAGAUAAUAGCAACUUUUAUGAGUUCAGCAUUAUUCUGAUAUCCCAGAAAUGGAUAUUACUUAAAAAACAAAGCAAAACACAAUAAACCAACAAAAUACUGUAGACUGAUAUAUCUCAUAAGCAUACACAGAAAUAUCCUUUAAAACACAGAAAAUUGAUUGAAUUUAACAACAUACAAAAUAAAUACUAUAUUAUGAACACAUGUAGUUUAUCCCAGGAAUGCACAAUUUCAUUUAUCAUUUGAAUUCAGUAAAUAUAAUUCACCAUAGUAACAGAAUAAAGGAGAAAAAUCAUACGAUCUUUCCAUUAGAGGCAGAAAAAGUAUUUUUCAAAUUCAACACAUAUUCAUGAUUAAAAAAAAAACUCAGUAAACUAGAUCUCAGUCAACUUCCUCAGUGUAAAGAAGAGUAUUUACAAUAAACCUGCAUUGUGUUUAACCAUGAAAGACUAAAUUUCUUAAAUUUUUUAAGAAAAAGGUUUGUUGCUAUCAACACUUCUACUGAACCUUAUAUGAGAAGCCCUAGCCAGUGCAAUGAAGCAGGAAAAAUAUUGGAAUCAUACAGUAAGUAGCCUCUUCAGAUUCUCUUUCAACUUAGUAAUAUGCAUCUAAGUUUCCUCUGUAUCUUUUUCUGUCUUGAUAGCUCAUUUUCUUUUAGUGCUGACAAUUUUAGUUGUCCAGAUGCAUUACGGUUUAUUGAUUUAUUCUCCUACUAAAGGGUAUCUUGGUUCUUCCAAGUUUUGGUAAUUGUGAAUAAAACUGCUAUCAACAUCUAUGUACAGGUUUUUGUGUAGAUAUCAGUCUUCAGCUUCUUCGGGCUAAUACCAAGGAGUCUGAUUACUAGAUAGCAUAAGAUUGUUUUUAUUUACUUUUUUUUUAAGGGCCACACCUGCAGCAUAUGGAAGUUCCCAGGCAAGGGGUUAAAUCAGAGCUGUAGCUGCUGGCCUACUGAGCAAGGUCAGUAGGUUAAACUUGAGUCUUAAUGGAUACUAAUGGGGUUCAUUACCCUUGAGCCAUGACGGGAGCACCAAAUUAUUAUUUUUUUUUUCAUUUUAUGGCCACACCAUGGCAUAUGGACUUUCCUGGGCCAGAGAACGAAUCUGAGCCACAGAUGUGACCUAUGCCACAGCUGUGGCAAUGCCGGAUCCUUUGACCCACUGGGGAUCGAACCACCCCUCCACAGAAAUUCAAGCCUCUAUAGUCAGAUUUUUAACUGCUGCAUCAUGGCAGAAACUUCAAGAGUGUUUUUAGAUUUGUAAGAAACCACCAGACUAUUUUUCAAAGUGACCGUACCAUUUUGCAUUCCACCAGCAAUGAAUGAGAAUUCCUGUUCUUCCACAUCCUUGUCAGCACUUGACAUUGUCAGUGUCCCAGGUUUUCAUUCUAAUACAUGAACUUUUUGGAGGGAGCCAUGACCAUGGUAUGCAGAAAUUCCCUGGUCAGAGAUCAAAUCUGCACCACAGCAGUAACCUGAGCCACAGCAGUCAGUGACAAUGCCAAUCCUUAAGCAUUAGGCCACCAGGGAACUUCCUGAGCUUUUUUUUUUUUUUUUUUUUUUUUUUUUAGAUAAUGCAUUCUUCCUCUAAAAAGUACAUCUAAAAAUUAGGAAAAAUCCAUUUCCUGGCCAUGGAUCCCAAUUUCGAACUUAUGAAACAUUGUAAUUGUAAAGAAUAUUGUGCUUCCUAGUUUUGACUGACAUGUAUUGAUGGACAUCUGAAUGUGUAAUAAAUAGCUCUUUGCCCUUGUGGAAAAAAAAAA